UGAAGAGCCAGACGCAACUGAAAUAACCAAACAACAACAAAUUUGGGAGAAGAGGGUCAGGGACACAGGAGAGAUACUGAGAUGUGGUUUGGAUAUAAUGAGAUGAAGAUGCCUUCCUGAAUGCUAGAUCAUUCACUGACGGUCCAAAUCAAGUUUGCUGGUGACUCCUCGAAGACGUAGGGAACUGAGGCAGUUAUUGACUUGAUAACAGCAGUAGUCUGCUGCCCUCCCAGGUCUAGUCCCAAGAAGUAAUGGAGAUUCUGCCAAGACUUACCCCAUGCCUACAGUCCAGAUGCUUGGCAUGGGCACAAACGGCACUUCCAGAAGGAGCCCAGAAGAGCUCCCCGGCAAGCACCCCCACCCCACAAGGAGCUGGUACACUCCUUGCUUCGGGGCUUGGUGCGGGACAACAAAGGGGGUAUUCCUUGGAACUGGCAGUUCAUGGAUUUCUGUUCUCAACUUUGCUCUCUUCUUCCCAGCUGUCACUGGGCAUGCCUAAGGAAGCUCCUGACCAGGGAAACAAGGGUUCUAGGCCUCAAAUUGUCCUCCUCCACGGUGGGCAAGAGUAAUUGGGCUCUAGAAAGGUAAAGGGAAUAGCACCAUCUGCCAUUAAGAGCUUCAGGCUAUGUUUGCGGCCACUAGGUGGUAGCAGAGCACAAGAAAUGGAACCCAGGACAACAUCCACAUGGGGGAGGAGAAGCAUACUGCUUCCUGCACUCCUGACUGUCCCUCUGCCAGACCAGAGACAAAAACAAGAGAUAGGGCACAGGCAAGGCAGGGCCUGCAAGCCAAGACUGAGCACUGACAGGCCAAGGGCAAAGGCCCAGACCAAAGGCUGGGCAAUGAACUCGGGCACACAUACGGGCAUGGACACAGACGGGGGCCUGGACAAAGGUUUUCCCAAGGACAGGCAUGAUGACAGGCACAUGUGGGGGAAUGGCCAUGGACAGAGCACGCCAUGUAGUGGGUGGGCAGAAUCGCACUGGCACCCCACGCCAGAGCAGGGAGCAAAGCAGAACUGGCAGGCCUCUCAGGGGCAGUCAGGCCUGACUGAGGAGCCAGUGCCUCGGGCCUUCUUCAGGAGCCUUAGAACCCUCACUCUGUGUUCCUGCAACGUAAGAGCCAGGACUCAGGCUGAGGACCAGAAAUGACCUUGGAGGACAUCAGGUCCAGCAUCCUCAAUUUCCAGAUUUGGGGAGAUCUGUAUCCCCAGAGGCAUAGAACUGUAAGCAGAGGAGACCACCACCUCUCUGUGGAGAGGAGAGAGCCAAGGCUCACCAUCAGUCCUCUGGAGUCAGCACUGAUCAUGGCAUCGCUCUGAGUCCUGAUGUCUUUCAGUGUCUGUGUUCCUGUCUUGGCCUCUGCAGCAAUGGUUCUCUAGGAUCAGUAACCCUUCAUACAGGUCUUCCUGAGCUUCCCAGAAUUCCACAUCUUCAUCAUUUCUUCCUGGGUAUCGAGACGCCCUUACAUGAAGACACCACAGUUUCUUCAGCUGUUCCCCAGUCGACGGCAUCCAGUGCUGUUUCCAGUCUUCUGUUACCAUAAGUGCUGAGACAAACAUGUAGUAGCCGGUUGUUAAGCAUUCCCAGCACCUCAGAGGCGGCCAGGUAUGGAAGUGCUCAGGGGUCUGCCAGUAACCCAGCCGGGCUGG